UAUUUGGUGUCGAAUAAUUAAUAAUCAUUCCAAGUAAUGACAAACAAUAUGUUUCAAUUAUUACUAUAGCACCAAUCAAAUAAUCCUUUUCAGCUUUCAUAGUUGAAACAACUUCUUAUAGUUCUUUCUUAACGUACAAAGAUUUAUAGUACUCUCUUAAUAUACACGUUGACGAGUAUUUAAAACUUUAGCUCCAAAUCAAACUGCAAAUCUAUUUCUACUUGAAUCAACUUGACCCACAACCC
rnacentral:lncRNA from 1 species